AGUACGGCGGAACACGAGAAAUUCCGUCGGAAUCCGCGGGGACCAUCCCGCAAGGCUAAAUACUCCCUAGUGACCGAUAGUGAACCAGUACCGUGAGGGAAAGGUGAAAAGCACCCCGGAAGGGGAGUGAAAUAGAUCCUGAAACCGUGUGCCUACAACAAGUCAAAGCUCGUUAAUGAGUGAUGGCGUGCCUUUUGUAGAAUGAACCGGCGAGUUACGAUUGCAUGCGAGGUUAAGUCGAAGAGACGGAGCCGCAGCGAAAGCGAGUCUGAAUAGGGCGAAUGAGUAUGUAGUCGUAGACCCGAAACCAUGUGAUCUACCCAUGUCCAGGUUGAAGGUGCGGUAAAACGCACUGGAGGACCGAACCCACGUACGUUGAAAAGUGCGGGGAUGAGGUGUGGGUAGCGGAGAAAUUCCAAACGAACUUGGAGAUAGCUGGUUCUCUCCGAAAUAGCUUUAGGGCUAGCCUCGGAAUUGAGAAUGAUGGAGGUAGAGCACUGUUUGGACUAGGGGCCCAUCUCGGGUUACCGAAUUCAGAUAAACUCCGAAUGCCAUUCAUUUAUAUCCGGGAGUCAGA
rnacentral:rRNA from 1 species